rnacentral:lncRNA from 1 species
GAACAUCUCCCCGACCUACUCAUAACAUAUAUACAUAUAUAUACAAGAUGUACAUAAGGCUCUAGACCCGAAAACUCCGAAAGGCAUGGAGCUUACCGAUCAAGCUGAACUCGGGCAACACUUAUUGAGGAGGCCUACCCAUCUGUCUAUCUGACCUGUACGCAUGAAAUGCAGCACCCCCAGAAAAGAGACGUCAGUACGAAAUAAUGUACUGAGUAUGUAAGGCAAUAUACUGAAAGCUAAAACUGAACUGAUAAUAUAAUAACUGCAAGUAGCUGGAAGUCAAAGAUAAUCUGAAGAUAUGCUUACAUGCUGAUACUGACUCAACUCUCUCAAUAUAGUAAGUAAAAUAGUUGUCCGGACCUAUAAGGCUCGGUAUACAUAUAUAUAUCUACUUUGCCAUAGUAGGCUCGCUCAUAAACGCUCGGCCAUACUAGGCUCUGUAUAUCGACCAACUGGGCUCGCUCAUAGGCGCUCAGCCACAGUAGGCUCGGUGUAUAACUUACCAUCUGAUCAGAAGUUGUCCAAUAGGGUCCUCAUUAUCGAUUAUAGCUCGAUGGUAAUGAAAAUACUUUUAAUACUGUAUAUAUGUAAAUUCUCUGCCCUCUUGACUGGGAGAAGAAAUACUCAAUUGAAUAUGAAGUCCCAUAAAGGAUAAUAUUGUAACUUACAAGACUAGAAAAAUAUAUGUAAUUUGCGAGACUAGCUAAAUAUAAGUAAAUUCUGGGAUAUGAAUUUUUCUUUAUGGCUCAUUAAUAAAAUUGUGUAAUGACGAGAUCAUCAAAAUGGAAUAAGUGCUUAGCCUUAACAUACCUGGAGUAGGAAAAACUCCAUGUAAUAUUUCAUUGGAAACCUUCGUGGAUUGAACUUAGAACCUAAAAAUCGGAUUAAGCUUCUGCGCUUUGAAAUUGAGGAACGAAAUCUUGCUUUUUUUGUUGAAAUUUGGACGACAAUUGCUUUAAAUGAAAGCUUUCGUUUGGAAUUCCCAAGAAGCAAUUUCGUUUGAAAUGCUUCUGCUUUCAACGUUGUUCUUG